UUUCCCUUCAUCGUCAAAGGAGGCUAUAGAAAGUGCAGAGUGCGGAAGCAAUCCAGGUGACGUCAGCUCAAAGAAACGCCGCGCAUUGUUCCAGAAGACAAGUGAGGACCGUGCUACAAAUGGGGAUGACACGCCCUCCACUCCCGGUC